UUAGGAAUCUUCCACAAUGGGCGAAAGCCUGAUGGAGCGACGCAGCGUGAGGGAUGAAGGCCUUAGGGUUGUAAACCUCUAAAAGAGGGACGAUAAUGACGGUACCUCUUGAAUAGCACCGGCUAACUCCGUGCCAGCAGCCGCGGUAAUACGGAGGGUGCAAGCGUUAUCCGGAAUCACUGGGCGUAAAGGGCGCGUAGGCGGUCUGUUAAGUCCGAUGUUAAAUCCCGGGGCUCAACCCCGGAUAAGCGUUGGUUACUGGCAGGCUAGACGGUUGGAGAGGCGAGUGGAAUUACCAGUGUAGCGGUGGAAUGCGUAGAUACUGAUAGGAACACCCAUUGCGAAGGCAGCUCGCUGGACAACACGUGACGCUGAGGCGCGAAAGUGUGGGGAGCAAACC
rnacentral:rRNA from 1 species